rnacentral:lncRNA from 1 species
CUGAAUGCAGCGUAAUAAGCUGCCUUUCUUAGGAAUAAUGAAGCUUGAAACAAAGAUGUUUUUCCUCACUUAUAGGAAUUUCAGACAGCUGGCAUCACAUCCCUUCUAUACUAGAAGUUCCUUUACACUGACCCGAUCCAGGAGUGGUGAGAAGCAUGUAAAUUGUCAAAUGAAAUCCUGCUUGUGGUUUGGAAGGAGGAGAAAAUCCCACCGCCUUUGUUUCUAACCCUGCUGAGAAGCCGUUUUUUAAAAACCCUUUCCAAAGCACUGGGUUCUCUGAGGGUGCUUGAUCAGUGAAUUGUCAAGGUAAAUUUCCAUCUACCAGUUCUCCAGUUUUAGAUCCAAUCAGAUGAUUCCAAAAGAAUAGAAUUGCACAGUGAAGCAAUCUAAGAAAAAUAUAUCUACCAAUGUUGGGGGAAGAUGCCAGGCAUGACAUGGAUAGAAAGGCAAAAACUAAGGCCAGGCAUGGUGGC